AUUGAACGCUGGCGGCAGGCCUAACACAUGCAAGUCGAACGAGUGGCGGACGGGUGAGUAAUGUCUGGGAAACUGCCUGAUGGAGGGGGAUCACUACUGGAAACGGUAGCUAAUCCCGCAUACCAUACGGUGUGCCCAGAUGGGAUUAGAUAGUAGGGGGGGUAAUGGGUCACCUAGGCGACGAUCCCUCGCUGGUCUGAGAGGAUGACCAGCCACACUGGAACUGAGACACGGUCCAGACUCCUACGGGAGGCAGCAGUGGGGAAUAUUGCAAAAUGGGCGCAAGCCUGAUGCAGCCAUGCCGAGUGUGUGAAGAAGGCCUUCGGGUUGUAAAGCACUUUCAGCGAGGAGGCGUUACUCGCAGAAGAAGCACCGGCUAACUCCGUGCCAGCAGCCGCGGUAAUUC
rnacentral:rRNA from 1 species